UAGCCGUAAACGAUACUCGCUAGGUGUCGGCCACGGUGCGACCGUUGUCGGUGCCGUAGGGAAGCCGUGAAGCGAGCCACCUGGGAAGUACGGCCGCAAGGCUGAAACUUAAAGGAAUUGGCGGGAGCACAACAACGGGUGGAGCUUGCGGUUUAAUUUGGAUUCAACGCCGGAAAUCUUACCGGGACCGGACAGCAACAUGAAGGCCAAGCUGAAGACUUUGCCGGAUUAGCUGAGAGGUGGUGCAUGGCGUAGUCGUGU
rnacentral:rRNA from 1 species